GACGAACGCUGGCGGCAUGCCUAACACAUGCAAGUCGAGCGAUGAAGCUUCUUCGGAAGCGGAUUAGCGGCGGACGGGUGAGUAACACGUGGGCAACCUGCCUUAUAGAGGGGAAUAGCCUUCCGAAAGGAAGAUUAAUACCGCAUAAGAUUGCAACUUCGCAUGGAGAAGCAAUUAAAGGAGUAAUCCGCUAUAAGAUGGGCCCGCGGCGCAUUAGCUAGUUGGUGAGGUAACGGCUCACCAAGGCGACGAUGCGUAGCCGACCUGAGAGGGUGAUCGGCCACAUUGGGACUGAGACACGGCCCAGACUCCUACGGGUGGCUG
rnacentral:rRNA from 1 species